GAUGAACGCUGGCGGCGUGCCUAAUACAUGCAAGUCGAGCGAACAGACGAGGAGCUUGCUCCUCUGACGUUAGCGGCGGACGGGUGAGUAACACGUGGAUAACCUACCUAUAAGACUGGGAUAACUUCGGGAAACCGGAGCUAAUACCGGAUAAUAUAUUUAACCGCAUGGUUCAAUAGUGAAAGACGGUUUUGCUGUCACUUAUAGAUGGAUCCGCGCCGCAUUAGCUAGUUGGUAAGGUAACGGCUUACCAAGGCAACGAUGCGUAGCCGACCUGAGAGGGGGAUCGGCCACACUGGAACUGAGACACGGUCCAGACUCCUACGGGAGGCAGCAGUAGGGAAUCUUCCGCAAUGGGCGAAAGCCUGACGGGGCAACGCCGCGUGAGUGAUGAAGGUCUUCGGAUCGUAAAACUCUGUUAUUAGGGAAGAACAAAUGUGUAAGUAACUAUGCACGUCUUGACGGUACCUAAUCAGAAAGCCACGGCUAACUACGUG
rnacentral:rRNA from 1 species